UCCCUGGUGGUCCAGUGGCUAAAAUUCUGCACUCCAGAUGCAAGUGACCCAGGUUCGAUCCCUAGUCAGGGAA
rfam:TPA: Bos taurus chromosome 3, whole genome shotgun sequence.